ACUGGGAAAUACAAAGGAGGAAUUGAGAAGGUAGUUUUGUUUGUUUUUUAAACCACAGUAAGGCAAGUUACUUUUUUUUUUUUUUUUUUUUUUUCUUGAAAGGGAAGAGAAAUAAAGCAAGGAAGGAAACAGCUCCCUGUACUGAAGUGGAAGAAGGUUCAAAGACAAAUGUCAAAAGAGAGCAGAAAUAAUUUGGCAGGAAGAGAGGAACAAAUAAAUCAUCAUUUGGUUAAAUGAAAGCAUUUAAACCAGUUCUGAUUUAUUUUUUUUUUCCUUUCUAAAAUGGAGAACUAAGAAGAAAUCAACUGACUUUCAGCCAAAGCAGUGACAGUGAAGAGCUAGUCCUUGCAUCCUUUACAAUGAGUCCUGCCUCACUUUUGUUCCCAAGUUCAGUACUCAGUAGCACAGUGCACUUUUCAGCUCUGAGCCAUUGCCCUGCCCCGGGGAGAGCUGAACCUGUAUCUGCUAAUGGUGUGUCCUAAGGACUGUGCUAGGAAGUGUCUUGGGAUGAACUGCUGUGUGACAUUGAUUCUGCUCUGCCUGAGUAUUUAUUCUACCAGUGCAUGAAAUGAUUUCAUAACAUUUGUUAGUGCAUUCAGUUGUUAGAACAUCUGGAUUCUAUUUGCUGAUCCCAUAAAUAUUUAAUUAUCUUAUGCAAAGUGGAACAGCAUCUGAAACAGGCUGGAGAAUGUUAUGCACAAAAUAACUGGGGGGGAGAGGGUGUUCACAUGGGUGAUGACUGAGGGUGCCCUUUGGGUUACCAAAAACAGUGCAUCAACUAUGUAACUAUGUUUUUUUGUUUGUUUUUCUUAUUAGUUCUUCACAGGCUGACAGAGGGGAGCAGCUCAUGCCCUUAUGUAUACCUGGUGUGCUUACCCACUGAAUAUGUUUCACUCUGAAAUUUGAGCAAGUCUCUUCCUUUGGAUAAGAUACAUUAGCUUUUAGGUGCCUUUUCCAGUCUGUUUUCUUCAUGAGUGCACAGUUAAGCAGCUUGGGACAAAAUUGUUUUCUGUUUGAUAGUAUCUUUAAGUUUCACUAAUUCUUUGAAAAGUGUACGUUCUGUUUGGAUGGAAAUGUCAUAGAGAAUAAGAAACCACAGUAUGUUUUCUAACAAGGCUGUUCAUCUCACAGAGGCUUUGAGCUCAUCAGAAAGCAGUACUUCUACACUAUGAUUAAGCUCUAUUCCCAGUGAUACUUUAGGGAAAUAUGUUCAUGAUUAAAACAUUUAAAUAUUCUAUUAAAAUAUUCAAAUUAUCUCACUAGUGUUUCAUAAUGUCAAUACCUUGUACCAUCCUAAAUUUCUAAAUUUUAUUUAUUUUAAAGGAAAUGGAGAAAAUGCUGAAAGGUAAGUUUUGGGUCACUGAUGGAAUCCAUUUUAAAGCAAACCAAAAGUGUGCUUCUUUGUAUACUGGAAAAUAUUGCCAAAGUAGUUUGUUUCCCAUACUAUAUUGGGUUUGUUUUUAUAAAGUAUAGCUAUUAUUGCAACACAUAGAAUACUUACAAACAAAUAACAUCACAAAGAUUUAGCCACAUUUAUUUAAAUUAAAUGUCUUUCCAAACCACAUUACAGAAAUCUCCUUUGUUACCCUGAGGCAAAAGUCUGAAUAAACAGUAUGGAAUACGCUUACAACAUCCUCUGAUGGUCAAAGCCAUGUGUGAAGAAGCAAAUAUAUAAAGAUCUUUGAGGAAGAAGAUCUUGUUGAGACCUGUACAAUCUUGAUUGCUUAAGAUCUGUUUUAGAACCCAACUGCUGGGAUUCAUCCCACCGAACUUAACACAUCUAAACAGAUUCCUAUAUGUAUGCUGAGCCUGAAGUUAUCAGCCUCCUAACCCAGAGGAAGUCUGUCUCCCAGAAGGUGAAAAGAAGGGGGGAAGUCAAACUAUAAAAUAUCUGGAUUCCUUAGGUGUAAGUUUUUGUGAAGCUGAAUGGAAGAAAUGCUGCUUUUGUCAUUCUGGAUGACUGUCGGUAGGACUCUUGGUAAGAAUGUAUGUUAUGUCUCAUUCCUUUCGGUGUACGGGUAUGUUUAUGUCAUGAACUGUUGAAACAACACUGGUAAUAUCCACUUAUGGUGGAAUUUAUAUGGAUAUCAUAGUUGAAUCAAUGUCUCAAGCUAAUUUUGAUCAAGUCAACACUAACAGUCUUGGAGUUUUCUGGUGGGGAAUGUAUGGCAUUGCUGGAAUGCUGAACUAAGAGUGUUAAUAAAAAUAUGAAUAAAGUAAUUAAAAGGUGGAUAUUGUUUAGUACAAAAUAUAGCAAGAGCUGGAAAGCACUGCAAGAAAAAUCUUUCUAGUGGUUGAUGUUCUUUUUUUCCUUCCCAUGUUUAUCAAGCUGUCUUGUUUCCUUCACAGGAAUCUGUACUGGAUACAAGCAGGGAUUGUGUUUUAUCUCCUCUUUUUUCUUCUGUAGCAUGUCCCAUUGUAGCAGAAAUGUGCUCUUCAUUUCUGUUCCUCAUGCUUUUUUAAGCAGUGCUCUCAGGAAACUUCCUUGCCCUCCUUUAAAAAAGGUCUUGAAGACCAACCGGUUCUGUGAACUGUUUUAGCCAUAAAGAACACACCCCGUAUGUGUUUGCUCUGAUUUAUCUUGCUCUGUACCGCUCUACUUUUGUACUUUGUACUUUAAACUGGGGCAGGGAAUAUUUGUUGUACAAAUAUAUAAAUAAUAUCAGCAAGACAAAGAUUGGCAUGUAGAGUUUUUUUUCCCCCCUUAAAAAAAAUUUUAAAAAAAUCUGUCCAAUGUUUGCAUAAUGUGUAUCAAAAUGUGUGCCUAUUGAGGUUAUUCAUGUUCUUAGAGAUAAUGCAAAGGAUACUUAAAUGCCCUACACAGGAGAAAUAGAGACGUUUUUAAAUUGCAUUUUUUGUACAUAAUUUUUCCUUUCUCUACCAGAAGCAAAACAUAUUUUAUGAAACUGGUCAACAUAGCAUAUUGCAUGCAGCAGCUGUUAUUGUUCCGUGUUACAGUUAAUAAGUAAGAAGCAUAAAAUGUUUAUAUCUUGGUUCAUGGAAAUUACAGUAACUAGACAGAAAUGCCCUAUGGAAAUAAGCUAGGUAGUUGGCUCAAGGUUAGGUAGUUAAAGAAUAUUUAAAUCAAAAGAGUAAUUAAGAUAUUUAUAUCUUAAUGUGUCCUUAACUUAACCCACAUGGUUGUGCUUUUACUUGGCUUGAUCAUUUUAAAUGUAUUUGUUCUAGUCAUGAAUUGAUGCAUUUAUUCAACGUUCGACUAUGAAUUAAAUCAGGAGGACACACAUAGUGAAUUAACCCAAACAAUCAUGUAUAAAUUACAAUAUCCUCCCCCUACCUCCCACAUUUGCAAAUUUGUUUGGACAUCAGUCUGUAAGUUAAGAUAUUUACUUGGGCAUUAAAUAUCUUCAAGAUUUGUUGACCACAGAUACCUUCAAUUUUUGAGCUAAAUUUAUAUGUGAAUCACAGACAAAUGAGUUUCACACAUGGUCUUCAUUUUUUUUUUGUGUGUUGUGACUAACUAUGUGCAAGCACUUUUGACACAUGGAUGGCUGCCUAUAGUAAAUUAUAUCUCAUAUUAAUUCAGGCACAAAAUAAAAAGAAAUAAGUAAUCUAGAACUUGAAUUCCUUUAAAUUCAAAGGAUCUCUGACAAUAUGUAUUCAUGUUGCAUUUAACUGAUGAUGUCACACUUCUGUAGGUUCAAAAUAUGAAAUAUCCUGUUGUUUAAUUUGUCAGAAUACUUCAGAAAUGAAAGAGAGAAGAAAAAAUAUGUAUAGUUACAUCUUAAGAAAGAUAUAAAGAAAAGACAAAGGAAAAUGAACAUAAUAAAAAUAAUCAUUUCUCUUAUUGUGGAAACGUUAAUCUGUGGUCUCAGUUUAGCGCCUUCCAAGAAUAAGCAAAUUUGACCUUGGAUAGAUUUAAAAGGUAAAGAAAAAUAUUGCUACAUCUAUAACUUUUUUUUUUUUUUUUUUUUUUUAAAAUAUGGAUUUCUCCAUUGUUUUUCUAGAGCUUGUCUCAUAUACAUCUUGUGUUACUUAUCCUGGUCUUUUUUGAUUGUCUGUUAGUUUUCAGAGAGAUAGAAUUCAAAGACUCAGGUACCUUUGUCCAUAAAACUUUUGACAAAACCAAGCUUUUAGUUUUCAUAUCCUGAGCUAUACUGCUUGUCUGACAAAUUCCUCAUGAAUGAUUGGACUCAAACUCCAAAUAGUACUCUUCCAUGCUUUCUUUUGCUAGUGCCUUUGCAGAUCAAGAUUGCUUUUAAGCAUGGCCAUAGGAGUAACUUGAUGAAUCACCAUCCAAUUAGAACUUCAUAGGUGGUAGAACACAAGCUGGCCAUUUUAUUAACCUAGAAAUUUGUUCUUUCUUUUGGAGCUUAGAUCUCCUAACUGUGUAGCCUAAAUUUUAAAAGCAAACAAAACAAAACAGAAACUGAGAUAGUUAGUGAAGUCUCCCCUCAUGAGAGGAAUAAGAUUUUACCAUAGGGUUAGCCAGAUACCAGAUAACGUCAAAGAACCAGUGGCAGUCUGCUUGAAAAUAAAUUUUACACAUUCAUUGAAUGUAUCUGGUUUUAUCAAAUGCUCUUAAGUGGUGUGAUAGUGAAAUAGCGUAUAUUAAAAACUCAAGCUGUAUGCUCAGUGGUGAAGAAAAUGUAGGAGCUCGUGGCUGAAUAAGUUUUCUUGCAGUACCAACAGAUGGCAACUUACUUUCUAAUGCAGUCCAGCCGACUCUAACAGGGAACUAAAAUAUUCUAAAACAUUCAUAUACACCUACUGGCCUCAUGUAGGUGUAGAUCUACUGCGUUGGAUACCAAAUUAUUACACCUCUGUGGGAUUUCAUUGGGCUUCAUAAGAAGGAGAAUGUUGUCUGGUAUAUGGCAUAGUUACUCAGGCUAACAUCUUGGAUAGACAACAUAAAGGACCCACCACACAGACAUUUGUUUUUUGUACACAUGCAGUUAGAUGGUUAUUUUUUGAACAGCUGUGCUUGUCAGACUAAUAAUCCAUGUUUUGUCACAUGGCAUGAUCUGUAUAAGCCAAGGAGUGUUAAGUGUAUUCCAGCAUCAAUUACUGAAGUAUGAGUAUGUGAAAAGAGAUAAU